UGUACAAUGGCAGGUACAGAGGGAUGCUACCGGGCGACCGGAUGCGGAUCUCGAAAGCCUGUCCCAGUUCGGACUGGAGUCUGCAACCCGACUCCACGAAGUUGGAUUCGCUAGUAAUCGCGCAUCAGCCAUGGCGCGGUGAAUACGUUCCCGGGCCUUGUACACACCGCCCGUCAAGCCAUGGGAGCCGGGGGCGCCUGAAGUCCGGGACCGCGAGGACCGGCCUAGGGCGAAACUGGUAACUGGGGCUAAGUCGUAACAAGGUACC
rnacentral:rRNA from 1 species